UACGUAGGGGGCAAGCGUUGUCCGGAAUCAUUGGGCGUAAAGAGCGCGCAGGCGGCUUGGUAAGUCGGAUGUGAAAUCCUGAGGCUCAACCUCGGGUCUGCAUCCGAUACUGCCCGGCUAGAGGUAGGUAGGGGAGAGUGGAAUUCCUGGUGUAGCGGUGAAAUGCGCAGAUAUCAGGAAGAACACCAAUGGCGAAAGCAGCUCUCUGGGACGGUACUGACGCUGAGACGCGAAAGCGUGGGGAGCGAACAGG
rnacentral:rRNA from 1 species